rnacentral:lncRNA from 10 species
GUUUUUUUUCAUUGUUUCCCCAACAAGAAAUAUGUCUUCUGUCAAAUGACACAAAUAGGAAAUGAUCUCAUGUGGUCUUUAUUUCUCUCCUUUAUGAAAAAGAAGUCAUUUUCUGAAAUCACCUUUUUAGUCAGUCUGAGGGAUCCUGACUGGUCUGUGGUAGCACACACAGCUGGUGUGGACCAUCAGCACAUGGGCUGCAAGGAAAAUCGCCCCGAUGUCCAGACAGUGGGGCCAGGUGGUUUCUGGGUUUUGGCCUAGCCCCUGCUCUUGGUCUGACUGAGCAAUACUUCCCCAGAUGUCCCUUGCCCUUCAGCCCACUGGCCCUGACCUUUGUUAGAAGUGGAUGCCCAGCAGCUUUCUGGUUGUCUGUGAAUGCCCGGUGAAGAUUCUGAACUGAUUCCUCACCAGACAGUUGCUCUGUUUGCACCACAAGGGGCUUUCCCACGUGUGAGCAGGCCUCCCACCAGCUUCAUUCCUCCAAACUCCCAAACCAGCAGCACUGUCUCCUAAGAUACAACAGGACAGGCUUUGAGGACAGAAACCCAGGGUCACGUUCCUGCUCCAUCACUUUCCAUCAGCAUGGUCUCGGGCAAGGGAAUCGUAAGCAGGUAACUGAUCAUCUGGAAACCUGGGGGACAAGAGGGAAGAAAUGACACCUAGGAUGCUCCAUCCUUUCCCUGCAUCCCUUUGUGUUCAGUUCAACAACUUGGUUCUCCUCCUGACCAGCCACUGUGCUUGGCUGAGGACACAAAGGUGAAGGAGACAGUCUAGUAUAAAACAUGACACAGACCAGACCCAAAGGGGAGGAAGAGGUCCUGUAGAAAGGUGAAGGGGCAUCAUUCACCAAGCCUCUCCAGCAUUAACCAGAGACUGCUGGAGGGCAGCGUGAGCCUACGGAAAAGACUCGACAUCCAGGGUUUGGACUUAAAGGCCCUAGUGUGGACUUCUUCAGUGCUCUGAUUCCUUGAAGAUUCUGUUGGCUUGUUCUCAAAACGAACUUAGCUGAAGAGUUUCGUGAGCCGGAAGUGCCUCUGAAAGAAGUGAGCAGAGAGAAGGGUCUCAAGAUGGCCAGGUUUUGGACUUACACCAUAGGCUCUACUGGUCCUUAGGCCUUUGGACUGAGGCUGGAACCACAUCCUCAGCUCUCCUGGAUCUCCAGCUUGGCAACUGCAGACCUUGGGACAUUUCAGAUUCCAUAAUCAUGACGAAGGCGAUGGCAGCAGUUUUCCAGGCUAGCUGUCUUCACAACCCGAUGGCUCUCUUCUUUUCUGCUGCCACAGAGACUGACUGUCUGCCUCCUGCAAAUUUGAAAUUUGGCAAACCUGCCUCCUCUGCUUCUCAGAACCAAACUGGGGCCAGGAGAACUUCUGACCCAAGUGUUGAUCACCUCUCUUCCUGCACCUCACUGUGCACCCUCUGCUCAGGAAAUGCCUUUGGCGUGUUGCUGACGUCUGUCCCUGCUCCAUCUCUUACCACCCUGCACUUCACCCUUUCCCACACAGGUUUCACCUGAUCUCAGCUGCUUUGGGCAGACCAUCCAGGUAUUUUGGAGUCUGAAAAGGAUCUCUGUCUCUAAGUCUGGUGCAAAUGGAGUUUGGGGGUUUUAAAAUUCAUUCUUCUUGCUGCUGUUUCACAAUUUCUCAGAAAAGGUGAAAAUGCAGACUUUGGCAGUUAUGUUCAAUAUGAAAAGUCUUAAUAAAGUAAUUUUUGACCUAAAGCCCACCAGUAUUUCUGGAACAAUUCAGUCAAUCUUUGAACUUGGUCACAUAAAGUCUUAUUAGAAACACAACGGGGAUUUUGGAGACAGGACUAGUGAACUUUGUGUAGUUAAAUAGAAACUUGAAUUGCCAGUGUAGAGUACU